ensembl:lncRNA
CACACACACACAUUGAUGCAGAGUGUGUUGAUGCCUGCCGAUCAAUAGUGGGCUAACCAAUAGGUCGAGCAUUGAUCACCAGUAAUGGAGAGCAUCAGUCUGACAGAAGCUUUUUUGUGUUCAGCAUGAAGUCAGCAGAGUUCCACUUCCUGUUGUGUGAAGCAGCAGGUAAACAACACAUUCAUCACAACGAGCAGACGCACACACCUGCACGCACCACCUGGACAAACAGGUUUAAACAGCACAGCAGCGGGAUGAAGAGCAGUCCAACAUCCUCGUCGUCCUCCUCAGUGUGUGUCUCAGAGAAGAAGCCGUCUCUGAAGCGGACAGAGUGGGUGAAGGUGCUGCUGGUGCAGAGGCUGAGCAUCUGCUCAACCCCUGGAGUCUCCUCUGACCUGUACAUGCUCAGAACCGGAGGUAGGAGAGUGGUGAGCUCAUCCUGAUUA